GGGAGGCAGCGCCGGGCCCCGGGGGCGGGACGGGACCCGACCGGACGGGACGGGACGGGACGCGGCGGAGCCGGGAGCGGCCAUGGGGAAGCUGCUGGCGGUGGCUCUCGUCGGGAUAGCGGCGGCCUUGGCGGCGGAGCGGCUGCUGGCGUUCCGGAACAGACUCAAUGCUUCACGGGAAGUAACCCCAGUGAGCCUCCCGAACUGCCGGCUCAUUAAAGGGAUCGAAACUGGUUCAGAAGACAUCGAUAUACUUCCCAAUGGACUGGCUUUCAUCAGCUCUGGUUUGAAAUAUCCAGGAUUAAAGAGCUUUGCUCCAGAUAAGCCAGGUGAAAUAUUUUUGAUGGAUUUGAAUGAAGACAAUCCCAGAGCAGUGGAACUGAGAAUCAGCCGAGGGUUUGAUCUGGCAUCAUUUAACCCUCAUGGAAUCAGCACCUAUAUAGACAGAGACGACACCGUGUAUCUCUUUGUUGUGAACCAUCCCCACCAGAAGAGCACAGUAGAAUUGUUUAAAUUUGUAGAAGAUGACAAUUCUCUUGUACACCUGAAAACCAUUCGACAUGACCUUCUGAUAAGUGUGAAUGAUAUAGUAGCCAUGGGACCAGAGAGCUUCUACGCUACCAAUGACCACUACUUCUCCGACUUCCUCUUGAUGUUCUUAGAAAUGUUCUUGGGUUUAACCUGGUCAAAUGUUGUUUACUACAGUCCAAAAGAAGUUAAAGAAGUAGCAUCUGGGUUUUAUUCAGCCAAUGGAAUUAACAUUUCACCAGACAGAAAGUACAUCUAUGUUGCAGAUGUAUUGGAUCACAAUGUCUAUGUCAUGGAAAAACAUGCUAACUGGAGUUUAACCCAUGUAAAGACGCUGCAGCUGGACACUCUGGUCGAUAACUUGUCUAUUGACCCUCACACCGGAGACAUCUGGGCAGGAUGUCAUCCCAAUGGGAUGAAGCUGUUCUACUAUGAUCCUGAAAAUCUUCCUGCAUCUGAGGUGCUGCGCAUCCAGAACAUCCUCUCGGAGGAGCCUGUGGUGACACGUGUCUACUCUGACAACGGCUCUGUGCUGCAGGGAAGCUCAGUGGCAUCCAUCUACGAGGGAAAACUGCUCAUUGGCACAGUCUUCCACAGAGCUCUCUACUGUGAUCUAUAGCUCGUCACGGGCAAGACCUGCUGCUGUGGAAAGGAUUUAAUUCCUUGGGAACUCACUUAGGUUCUGCUAGAUCUGCUAACAACAAGACUGUCCCAAUAAAGGUUAACUACAGUAAUGGAAAUGUAUUUUAGCCUUCCUCUCCAAAGUGAGACUUCUACACAAUAGUAAAGGACAUGGAAUUGAAGAAAAUCAAGACUGUCUUCACUCAUCACUGGCUUUUUUUCUGUUCUAAACUGCUCCUGUGCUGAAGAUUUUCCCAUUGGUCUGCCUACAGACGGAACCAUGGGCAAGCGAGGGGCCUUAUCUUUUCCUACAGUGUUUGAGAGGAGAGACAUCACAGCUGUCUGCUGUCACUGACAGUACCAUUUUGACCUGAGGCCAGGAGGGCGGGAAGCCCAUUGCCAACCUCCUCCCAGGUCUCCCAGCCUUGCAGCGCGGAGGAGGGAACUGGAGCAGGGCCAGCGGUGUUCAGGCGGUGCAGGGCAGGACGCAGACAGCAAGCAGGUGGCGUGCAGCAAGAGCCACGCUGGCUGGGGUACAGCCCCACCUCCGGGCAGCCUCAGUGACCAAACAGCAGCGGUGGAAGAUGCAGCUCAAGCCUGGCCUCCCAAUUACAAAGUAACCUGCACACCAAAAAUCCAGGCUUGCAAGCCAAGGAGGGCAUAACCCAUCAUCUUUAACAUGCUGUAGAGACUGGAGCAGUUCUGGGCAUUCCCGAAACCCAGCUGCAGCUAUCUGAGACAACUUGCACAAACAAAAAAAACGUAUGUACAGAUGGCUCCGGGCCGAGGGAGCUGCUGAGCAGACACAUUUUACACGUCAGUUGUGGACCCAGAGCACCUUAGUAUAUCUAUUUUAAUUAAGAUAAUGAUUUUAUGAAUUGAGGAUUCUCUAUCUUGCAGGUGGUGCCUGUAUUAGUGGAAGGUAAGAUUUAUGAUUCAGUCUUUGGGAAACACAAACUGGGUUAGACAGAUUAAGUGCACAGUGCUUGGCCUAGAUUCUGCCAGAUGUAAAUCCACUGAAAUGACUAUACAAAUUGCACAGUCUGUGCCCUUCGAUUUUCCCUAACUUAAUGCUUUACUAAAUUCAAAUAAAUAAAGGACUCAUUAAACAUA